UUUGUAUCCAUAAGUUAUUUUUGAUGAUGAAGCUUCCGAAUUGACGAUUCAUACUAUUAACUAUGAUCUAGAGCAUUUAAAAUUUUUAAAAAAUAAAUUUUACAGUUUUUUUAAAUUAUAUUAAAGUCCAUCAAGCAGGUAUAAAAUGAACGGUCAAAAUUGAACAACUUCAUAAAAUAGAUUAUCGGAUUCUUCAGUUUACAAUCAGAGUUAUUGAUCUUUGAUUAGAUAGUGAAUAUAAUUUUUUUUUUAUCAAAAAUUCAAUCAAUUUCGAUUCUUUUGCACCGUUUAAUUAGCAAGUAUUUCACACCGGCCCGUUAAAAAUUGUCAAUUUUUAAAUUUUUUGAUCGUAAGGUAAAUGAUAUUGAAAAAUUAUAAAAUUUGAUUUUUUGAAGUUUUAAAUAUUUUAAAUCAUGUUUAACGGCAUGGAUUGUCGAUUCGAAAGCUCUAUCACCGAAAACUACCUAUGAGUACAAGAGCAAUCGUAGUGAUAGAGUAUAAAAGCCGGAGUCUCUCUCUCUCUCUCUCUCUCUCUCUCUCUCUCUCUCUCUCUCUCUCUCUCUCUCUCUCUAUAUAUAUAUAUAUAGACCUAGGCUGGAAUACUAUCAAUAGCACCAAACUAUUGGUGCUAUUAGGUUUUCGGCCUUUUGAUGAAAAAAUAUACGGUUAGGAUGAUGUGGGCCCCCUAGGGUUGAGUAAGUUAUUGGUUUAAUAGUAUAAUCUAACGGAUGAAAAUAAUUAAAGGGUUAAAUCUAACGGCAGAAAACUUGAUAGCACCAAACACUUGGUCUAUCGAUAGUAUCCCAGUCGGACUCUCUCUCUCUCUCUCUCUCUCUCUCUCUCUCUCUAUAUAUAUA
rnacentral:lncRNA from 1 species